AUGAACGCUAGCUACAGGCUUAACACAUGCAAGUCGAGGGGCAGCAUGAACUUAGCUUGCUAAGUUUGAUGGCGACCGGCGCACGGGUGAGUAACACGUAUCCAACCUGCCGAUGACUCGGGGAUAGCCUUUCGAAAGAAAGAUUAAUACCCGAUGGCAUAGUUCUUCCGCAUGGUAGAACUAUUAAAGAAUUUCGGUCAUCGAUGGGGAUGCGUUCCAUUAGGUUGUUGGCGGGGUAACGGCCCACCAAGCCUUCGAUGGAUAGGGGUUCUGAGAGGAAGGUCCCCCACAUUGGAACUGAGACACGGUCCAAACUCCUACGGGAGGCAGCAGUGAGGAAUAUUGGUCAAUGGACGAGAGUCUGAACCAGCCAAGUAGCGUGAAGGAUGACUGCCCUAUGGGUUGUAAACUUCUUUUAUACGGGAAUAAAGUGAGGCACGUGUGCCUUUUUGUAUGUACCGUAUGAAUAAGGAUCGGCUAACUCCGUGCCAGCAGCCGCGGUAAUACGGAGGAUCCGAGCGUUAUCCGGAUUUAUUGGGUUUAAAGGGAGCGUAGGCGGACGCUUAAGUCAGUUGUGAAAGUUUGCGGCUCAACCGUAAAAUUGCAGUUGAUACUGGGUGUCUUGAGUACAGUAGAGGCAGGCGGAAUUCGUGGUGUAGCGGUGAAAUGCUUAGAUAUCACGAAGAACUCCGAUUGCGAAGGCAGCUUGCUGGACUGUAACUGACGCUGAUGCUCGAAAGUGUGGGUAUCAAACAGGAUUAGAUACCCUGGUAGUCCACGCUGUAAACGAUGUCGAUUUGGGGGUUGAACUUUGUGUUUGGCGCCCGUAGCUAACGUGAUAAAUCGACCGCCUGGGGAGUACGGCCGCAAGGUUAAAACUCAAAUGAAUUGACGGGGGCCCGCACAAGCGGAGGAACAUGUGGUUUAAUUCGAUGAUACGCGAGGAACCUUACCCGGGCUUGAAUUGCAACUGAAUGAUGUGGAGACAUGUCAGCCGCAAGGCAGUUGUGAAGGUGCUGCAUGGUUGUCGUCAGCUCGUGCCGUGAGGUGUCGGCUUAAGUGCCAUAACGAGCGCAACCCUUAUCGAUAGUUACCAUCAGGUUAUGCUGGGGACUCUGUCGAGACUGCCGUCGUAAGAUGUGAGGAAGGUGGGGAUGACGUCAAAUCAGCACGGCCCUUACGUCCGGGGCUACACACGUGUUACAAUGGGGGGUACAGAAGGCAGCUACACGGCGACGUGAUGCUAAUCCCUAAAGCCUCUCUCAGUUCGGAUUGGAGUCUGCAACCCGACUCCAUGAAGCUGGAUUCGCUAGUAAUCGCGCAUCAGCCACGGCGCGGUGAAUACGUUCCCGGGCCUUGUACACACCGCCCGUCAAGCCAUGAAAGCCGGGGGUACCUGAAGUGCGUAACCGCAAGGAGCGCCCUAGGGUAAAACUGGUGAUUGGGGCU
rnacentral:rRNA from 1 species